ACCGCAUCCUACAGCGCCAGCCGGGCCGCCCUCAU
rnacentral:scRNA from 1 species